CCUCCGCUAGUCACCACUUCCGCCUCUUCCCACGUGGUUGCACAGUGACGGACCGGUAAGAGGAGGAGCCUGUGAAAGGGGAGGAGUCGGGAGAGACAUGGAGGGACCGGACCCGCCGGGUGGCGGGAAGAACAAGAUGGCGGAUUCUAAACAAACCAAGGUGAAAGGUCAGGACCUGUCCAAGGAGGAGAAGUUGAGGUUGCGGAAGGAGAAGAAGCAGCAGAAGAAGAA